rnacentral:rRNA from 1 species
UUAGCCGUAAACACAAAAAAUUCGUAACAAAAUUUUUUGCCAGAGAACUACUAGCAACAGCUUAAAACUCAAAGGACUUGGCGGUGCUUCACAACCAUCUAGAGGAGCCUGUUCUAUAAUCGAUAAUCCCCGAUAAACCUCACCACUUUUUGCUAAUCCAGCCUAUAUACCGCCAUCUCCAGCAAACCCUAACAAGGAACAAAAGUGAGCACAAGUAUCACACAUAAAUACGUUAGGUCAAGGUGUAGCCAAUAAAGUGGGAAGAAAUGGGCUACAUUUUCUAACCAAGAACAUCCACGAUAAUCUUUAUGAAAGCUAAAGAUCUAAGGAGGAUUUAGUAGUAAAUUAAGAAUAGAGCGCUUAAUUGAAUGAGGCCAUGAAGCACGC